GCCGGAAUAGCUCAAUUGGGAGAGCGUUAGACUGAAGCUGUUUACGCAACAAUCAUCUAAAGACCCCCGGUUCAUUCCCGGGUUCCGGCA
rnacentral:tRNA from 1 species